rnacentral:rRNA from 1 species
CUAUGAUAUGACAGAACUGUGGGGACACGUGCAGAGAGCGGAAGCCGGGAAUGGGAUCCCGGUGCAUGCGAGGUACCAGCCGCAUUGGAAAAACCGUGCGGCAAUGGGAAGACGUGAUGCGGAGUGAAGUUUAGUAAUGAAGUCCGUGAGCUGUGCGUCAAGAAAAGCCGCUAUUGUUCAUACCAUACCCGUACCGUAAACCGACACAGGUGGAUGAGGAGAGAAUCCUAAGGCCGGCGGAAGAAGCAUUGUCAAGGAACUCGGCAAAAUGACCCCGUAACUUCGGGAGAAAGGGUGCCUGCGAGAGCAGGCCGCAGAGAAUAGGCUCAAGCAACUGUUUAGCAAAAACACAGGUCUAUGCGAAACCGAAAGGUGAGGUAUAUGGGCUGACGCCUGCCCGGUGCUGGAAGGUUAAGAGGAGAGGUUAGCGCAAGCGAAGCUUUGAAUUUAAGCCCCAGUAAACGGCGGCCGUAACUAUAACGGUCCUAAGGUAGCGAAAUUCCUUGUCGGGUAAGUUCCGACCCGCACGAAAGGCGUAAUGAUUUGAGCGCUGUCUCGACAAUGCAUCCGGUGAAAUUGAAGUACCAGUGAAGAUGCUGGUUACCUGCGCCAGGACGGAAAGACCCCAUGGAGCUUUACUCCAGUUUGGUACUGGGAUCCGGUACUGCAUGUACAGGAUAGGUGGGAGGCUGAGAAUCGGUAACGCCAGUUGCCGAGGAGCCGCUGUUGGGAUACCACCCUUGCAGUAUUGGGUUUCUAACCAGCCGCCGUGACCCGGCGGUGGGACAAUGCCAGACGGGGAGUUUGACUGGGGCGGUCGCCUCCGAAAGGGUAUCGGAGGCGCUCAAAGGUUCCCUCAGGAUGGACGGAAACCAUCCAAAGAGUGCAAAGGCAGAAGGGAGCUUGACUGCGACACCGACGGGUGGAGCAGGUACGAAAGUAGGGCUUAGUGAUCCGGUGGUAUUAAGUGGGAAUGCCAUCGCUCAACGGAUAAAAGCUACCCUGGGAUAACAGGCUUAUCACUCCCAAGAGUUCACAUCGACGGAGUGGUUUGGCACCUCGAUGUCGGCUCAUCGCAUCCUGGGGCUGUAGUAGGUCCCAAGGGUUGGGCUGUUCGCCCAUUAAAGCGGUACGCGAGCUGGGUUCAGAACGUCGUGAGACAGUUCGGUCCCUAUCCGGCGUGGGCGUAGGAUAUCUGAGAGGAGCUGUCCUUAGUACGAGAGGACCGGGAUGGACGGGCCGCUGGUGCACCGGUUAGACUGCCAAGUCUAUAGCCGGGUAGCCAAGCCCGGAAGGGAUAAACGCUGAAGGCAUCUAAGCGUGAAGCCCCCCUCAAGAUGAGAUAUCCCAUCCGAAAGGAGUAAACCCCCUUGAAGACGACGAGGUUGAUAGGGCAGGGGUGGAAGUGUGGUAACACAUGGAGCUGACUGCUACUAAUAGGGUGAGGGCUUGAUCA